rnacentral:rRNA from 1 species
UGGGGAAUAUUGCACAAUGGGCGAAAGCCUGAUGCAGCGACGCCGCGUGCGGGAUGAAGGCCUUCGGGUUGUGAACCGCUUUUGAUUGGGAGCAAGCGAGAGUGAGUGUACCUUUCGAAUAAGCACCGGCUAACUACGUGCCAGCAGCCGCGGUAAUACGUAGGGUGCAAGCGUUAUCCGGAAUUAUUGGGCGUAAAGAGCUCGUAGGCGGUUUGUCGCGUCUGGUGUGAAAGUCCAUCGCUUAACGGUGGAUCUGCGCCGGGUACGGGCAGGCUAGAGUGCGACAGGGGAGACUGGAAUUCCCGGUGUAACGGUGGAAUGUGUAGAUAUCGGGAAGAACACCAAUGGCGAAGGCAGGUCUCUGGGUCGUCACUGACGCUGAGGAGCGAAAGCGUGGGGAGCGAACAGGAUUAGAUACCCUGGUAGUCCACGCCGUAAAACGGUGGAUGCUGGAUGUGGGGC